GUGAAUCAUCGAAUUUUUGAACGCAAAUUGCACUCUCUGGCAUUCCGGAGAGUAUGCCUGUUUGAGGGUCAGUUUAAAUAAAAAUCGAUGUGUUGCUUUUUGGUUGCCCAACGGAUUUGGGUUAUCUUUGACCUUUUAAAAGGUUUUAGCUAUCUAAAAUUGAUACCUUGUGCAUCUCAGACGUUCAUAAGAAUAUUUGUCUAGUCGUCCGGAGUUUCCAA
rnacentral:misc_RNA from 1 species